AUUGAACGCUGGCGGCAGGCCUAACACAUGCAAGUCGAACGGUAACAGGAAGAAGCUUGCUUCUUUGCUGACGAGUGGCGGACGGGUGAGUAAUGUCUGGGAAACUGCCUGAUGGAGGGGGAUAACUACUGGAAACGGUAGCUAAUACCGCAUAACGUCGCAAGACCAAAGAGGGGGACCUUCGGGCCUCUUGCCAUCGGAUGUGCCCAGAUGGGAUUAGCUAGUAGGUGGGGUAACGGCUCACCUAGGCGACGAUCCCUAGCUGGUCUGAGAGGAUGACCAGCCACACUGGAACUGAGACACGGUCCAGACUACUACGGGAGGCAGCAGUGGGGAAUAUUGCACAAUGGGCGCAAGCCUGAUGCAGCCAUGCCGCGUGUAUGAAGAAGGCCUUCGGGUUGUAAAGUACUUUCAGCGGGGAGGAAGGGAGUAAAGUUAAUACCUUUGCUCAUUGACGUUACCCGCAGAAGAAGCACCGGCUAACUCCGUG
rnacentral:rRNA from 1 species